rnacentral:rRNA from 1 species
UGGGGAAUAUUGCACAAUGGGCGGAAGCCUGAUGCAGCGACGCCGCGUGAGGGAUGACGGCCUUCGGGUUGUAAACCUCUUUCAGCACCGACGAAGCGAGAGUGACGGUAGGUGCAGAAGAAGCGCCGGCCAACUACGUGCCAGCAGCCGCGGUAAGACGUAGGGCGCGAGCGUUGUCCGGAUUUAUUGGGCGUAAAGAGCUCGUAGGCGGCUUGUCGCGUCGACUGUGAAAACCCGCGGCUCAACUGCGGGCUUGCAGCCGAUACGGGCAGGCUAGAGUUCGGUAGGGGAGACUGGAAUUCCUGGUGUAGCGGUGAAAUGCGCAGAUAUCAGGAGGAACACCGGUGGCGAAGGCGGGUCUCUGGGCCGAUACUGACGCUGAGGAGCGAAAGCGUGGGGAGCGAACA